CGCUGAAAGCAUCUAAGCGUGAAACUCCCCCUAAGAUAAGUUCUCCCAUCCUUUAUGGAGUAAGGGUCGAUGUAGACUACAUCGUUGAUAGGUCGGAGGUGUACGCACGGUAACGUGUUUAGCUGACCGAUACUAAUAACCCGAGGGCUUGACCAA
rnacentral:rRNA from 1 species